GUGUGCAUGUGGUAGGGAAAACAUUGUUGUAUACUACAAAUUCAGUGUUUUGCUUAUAGGUUGGAGACUACAUGAGAUUUUGACAGAUGGCGGGAAACCCUCAUCAACUGGAGAUCAGCCGGUAGAGAAAUGUCUGCGACUCAGCCGAGGGCCACUGCAUAAGGGUUAUUGAUGGCAAAACAGGUUGGAGACUACAUGAGAUUUUGACAGAUGGCGAGAAACCCUCAUCAACUGGAGAUCAGCCGGUAAAAAGGUGGCCUUAAAACAGUGACCGUU